AACGAACGCUGGCGGCAGGCCUAACACAUGCAAGUCGAGCGCCCCGCAAGGGGAGCGGCGGACGGGUGAGUAACGCGUGGGAACGUACCCUUUGCUACGGAAUAGCCUCGGGAAACUGGGAGUAAUACCGUAUGUGCCCUUCGGGGGAAAGAUUUAUCGGCAAAGGAUCGGCCCGCGUUGGGUUAGGUAGUUGGUGGGGUAAUGGCCUACCAAGCCGACGAUCCAUAGCUGGUUUGAGAGGAUGAUCAGCCACACUGGGACUGAGACACGGCCCAGACUCCUACGGGAGGCAGCAGUGGGGAAUCUUAGACAAUGGGCGCAAGCCUGAUCUAGCCAUGCCGCGUGAGCGAUGAAGGCCUUAGGGUUGUAAAGCUCUUUCAGUGGGGAAGAUAAUGACUGUACCCACAGAAGAAGCCCCGGCUAACUCCGUG
rnacentral:rRNA from 1 species